GUCCAAGUGUGCAGUUAAGACCACAGCCUGGAUUCUCAGUAGAGUGUUUUUUUUAAAUGAUUACUGGUAUUUUUCUAGCAUAUUUUUCACCCAAAAUGUAGAAUUGAUGAUAACCAAGUUUUAGUUACCUUAUAUGUAUCACCUGUCCUCGCCAAAGUCAUAUCACAUUCCCUAAGCCUUUUCCAUGUUGCCCAAUUUUUCCUGCCUGGAAUUCUCUCCCUCUCAAAAGUUUUCCAAAUCAAUGAAACUGAAGUCCUACUUUCUUGGUAAAACCUGAAUAUUCUAGGCCAAGGAGACUGUUCUCACUUCUGAAUGACUGCAGUGUUUCCUUAUGUCACACCCUUUCCCUUAGUCACAUAAAACACCAAAUUGGAACUGUCGCACGUUUUUAAAAAUAUGUAUAAAAAUGUUCAAUGUAUGUAUUUUGUCUCUAACUUGUAUAUAAACUCCAUUAGUCCUAACAAUAUGUAUUAUACAUCCUUGUAUCUCUUCUUGCCCACAUGUGUGCAUCAUGCUGAGAGAAAAUUGGUCAAAUAAAUUCCUAAAGUUUGUUAAGAGGAGGACUGAGGGACCUGUAGUCAACCUGGUGGCUGGAACAUCUGAGUCAUCUCCCCAAACUCCACAAAAUUGACAGUAAAGAAAUGACAAAAGUUGAAACUCAUCCAACAGAGAAAAGAGACAUGAAGGGCAAAAGAGAUGACAUGAACAUUUCGAACACAAGGCUUGAUACAGGGGAGAACGUGAAAAAGUUCGAGGAUUUCUGUGUUGCAUUGUAACUGAGGAAGUUGGAGAACAAACAUAACUUUCUAAGCAGCGUGCCUGGAAGCAAAAAUUAAUAAAGCAGAACUGGAGAUGUGUUCCCUGCUGGUGGUUCCCUGAAAAGCUCCCACACCCACAUGGUGAGGCCGGGGCCAGGGGCCUAUGAGGCUUUGGAGCAGAAGGGCUGCAGUGGUGACUUCUGAAAGCCCCGUGGAACUGAGCUCUGCCCCUGCACCUGUGAUUUCUAAGCUUUGGCAGAUAGCUCCUUGGGGUCCUCCUCUCAAGUACAAAGGCAAGAGGCAUUUCCCUUCCUGCUUAACUCAUAAAGGACCAUGCACCUCUGCAAACCCCUUUCCAAGAAGAGUUGAUGGCAACACGAUGUUCCACGAUAAAACUGACACAAAAAACAAUGCGAAAUUUGUCUAA
rnacentral:lncRNA from 1 species